ensembl:lncRNA
GGACCACCACGGACACCCCUGCGGGUGCCCUGUGACUCCAGCCUAGUGCCCAGGGACGCUGCGGGCCACCCCCCACCCAGAGCCUGCCACCCUUCCAGCUGGUGGCCCAGGUGGGAGACUGGGGAAGCGGGGAAGGUGUGAAUUCGUGGGAGGCCCCAGUCAGUAAAGGAUCUGCCUGCCGACACAGGAGACCUUGGUUCAAUCCCUCAGCUGGGAAGAUCCCUUGGAGAAGACAAUGGCAACCACUCCAGUGUUCUUGCCGGGAGAAUCCCAUGGACAGAUUAGCCUGCUUUGACUCAGCAGCCACAUGCCAACCCAGAGGUCUCCAAGUUGCUCCUAACGUGGCUGCAACACACGGAUGGGAGACGGCGUGGGUCGGCGUCCUGCUGGUCCUUGGUAGGCGAUGCUCUGAUCAGUGAGGCUGAGAGCACGGAGGUCCUCAAUGGGGUCUCAACGGUGCGGACCCCACAACACUAGACCCCUUCUCUGAUUGCCUGCCAGCUGGAUCCUUCCCCUUCCGGCCUAGGAUCUGUGAGUGUGAGAACUGAAUGAUACUACGUCAGACGACCGAGGAUGCGAUGGCUGGAUGGCAUCGCCGACUCGAUGGACGUGAGUCUGAGUAAACUCCGUGAGUUGGUGAUGGACAGGGAGGCCUGGCGUGCUGCAGUCCAUGGGGUCGCAAAGAGUCAGACACGACUGGGCGGCUGAACAGAACUGACCUGUAAGGCCAUCAUCGGAGGUACUGCGGGAAGGUGCCCACGCCCCCACUGAGGGGCACCCUGAUGGCUUCCCAUGUUGGCCGUGAUGAAUAAGCUGCCGACUCAUCCAGGAGCAGGUUUUUGCAGGGACUGAAGUUUUCAGCUCUUUGGGGUUAGGAACCAAGGGUCGUGGUGGCUGAACCGCGUGGUGUGUGUGCUGCGUCGUCAGAGGCCGCCUCGCGCUCCCACCAGCCACGAGGCGGCCUCUGCUGGUGCCAGCGUUUCGGUUUGGGCCUUACAGACGUGUAGGGACAAAGUUCUUUUAUUUUAGGCAAACAUUUUCAUGUGUUAGAUCUGACGUCCUGACAUGGGUUCCCCCCCAACUCCGAGCUUGGUGCCAGGGAGACCCAGCAGUGGCCCUGGGGAGGAGGCACCCCCCAUGGGCAGGUGAGGAUGGGGGUGGGCAGGAGCCCCCCCGGGGGGUAGCCUCCCUGCUGUGUUUUGCAAGCCAGACUGGGGAGUGGGGGCUUCUUCCUGAGAGUAGUGGGCGUCCCCCGAGGGCUCCAAGUUGGGAGUUGUGGGGAGGGAGGUAAGACAAGCCUGGAAGUGCCUUGGGGCUGCUGCUGAGGCCCACAGUGCCUGAACAGAUGAAAGAGUGAGGCACACUGGACCGGCCGGGGAAGGUGCGGGCAGCAGGGGCGGAGGUGGGAGGGGCUGUGGCUUUACAGGAGGCCUUCAGAGAGCCUCUGGAGGAGCCGGCAUUCCCAGGGCACGCAGAGGCCGCGUGCGAAGGCCCCCAGCCACGUGACAGAGGCAGAGGGCGGGGUGGGGGGGCGAGCCCCGGGCCCGCAGGUCUCCCCAGGUUCACAGGCCCAGAAGCUGAGCAGGUCUCCCCCUCCUGGGGUCGGGGGGGCUUCAUCACAGAAUACAACUGAGGAAGUCAUUGGCCACUGACCGUGUGCUCACCCUCCGGCCUGUCUCCCCUCCUCAAGGCGGUGGGGGUCCUGGAGUCCCUCCCGACUCAGGGCAGGCUCUCCUGCCGUCAGCCCCCUUCCUUGGGUCUUUUCCCAGAGCUUCCCCGUGAACAUCACUCCAGCAGCACAGAAGAGGGACUCGCUGUGAACAUAAAUGGCAAGGCCCCCACGUCCGCUUCACGGCUCUCGGGGGUUUCAGGACUGGGGAGAAAGGCAGCAGGCGCUCUCACCGGUGACGCUGUCUGGACCCCACUGCUGGGGCGCCAGGGGAGGGAGGCGUGGGCCGGGGCUGGGGGCAGCGCCAGACGUGUGGGUCUCAGGAACCUCAGCAUCACCGCCUGCGCUUGUAACCUGGGAGACUCCGAAUGUUCCAGAAAGUUCCGAGGGCCGUUCUGAAGAGGGAGGGGGAGGCCAGUACCCUCUGACAGAGGGUACGUGCAGUCGAGCACACGUCUCGUGGGAGAUGUUUGUAAUGGUUCUUGUGCCUUUCUAGGCGUGAGGAGACGCAGGAAGCCGGUUUACGGCGUGUUCUCCUGGAGCGCGGUCUGCGGGCCAGUCCUGCCAGUUUUCCCAGCGCGCCUCAUCCUGCCCUUUGUCCUCAGCUCCUGCAGGGCGUGUUGCUGGCCAGCGCCGGUGGUGGGUGAUGACUUCAUUCCUGUAGAACUGGAUGGUGGGCAACAUUCCUUAUUUUACGGUCCCUUCCCCUUCCGUCUUCGCUUCAGUCCAGACUCCAAGGGCGCCGCGUGACCAGCCUGUGCCGUGGCGAGGAUUUCCGUGACGGGUGGCUCGGGCUACGUGACUGGACCAGACCCUGGCAACAGUCGCCCCAGGCCUCGGGACCCCCAGUCUGACUCCUCUGCCACGGCCUGCUUCUUCCUGCCCCUGGAAUUUUACACGGUUACAGCGAUUGAUCUGACGGAACUGUCUGCUGGUCAACCCUUUCAAGUCGUCUGUAAUCAUCAUUUGUUUUAUCCGAGGCUCAGUCGCAUUGUUUCUGAUCAAAGAAACAAUCGUCUUGUAAAAUAGGCGGAAUAUGCGUAAUAUAACGAGGGGCGUUAAUGAGGUCAUGAGCAUGGCUUUAAGCUCAGAAUGUCUAUUGGUGUGGCCCCGUAUCUCCCCCGAUCAUCUGGCCAGUCUGCUUUGUACCAGUGCUAUCUUUAAGGGAAACGAUGUGCUGCUCAUAAAGUCCACCAAAGAUGUCUGCACGUCCAAGGCCAGCGGUGGGUCAUCGUGACCCCUUACAGGACCGAGAAAGGAAUGUUAUCUUCUAAAGAGUUACAUGGUUGACGUCAAGACAAGAAAAAUAGAUUUUUAUGGUUGAGCAGGUGUCUGCCAUCCAUGUUUAGAGGCACUGCUGUGGCCUGGCUGGAGGAGGUCCACUGAGCCCCGCAGGGUAUGGAACACAGUCCCCUGUGCUACACGGUAGGGCCGGUGACGGCUGUGAAGAGUCUGGGCCAGUUUUCUUGAAGAGGAUCUCACAAUCAAAUUGGUUGGACGGUUUCUUCACGGUCAGACCCAGGCUGAACUUUGGGGCCAGAAUACGGCUUCAGUGGCGCUGGGGCCUCUGGGCUCUUCACGGCCAGGUGCCCGAGGCCCGAGGCGCUCACUCUUGACGCUGCCGAGACCGCUCACCAGCUUCAGAUGAGGCUCACCAGGUUUCUGUUUCCAGAUUCAGGUUUUUUAAGGGCUACAAAUUAUAGUAUAUAUGCAGUUAAAGCUACUGCGACCUGGAUGCCCAUCGGCGGCUGAAUGGACGAAGCAGCUGUGCUGCGUGUACACGAUGGGACACUACUCGGCUGUACAGAGGGACACACUGGAGUCGGUUCUAAUGAGGCAGCAGCGGAGAUGCAGACGUAGAGGGCAGACUUGUGGGCCCAGAGGACGCGAGGGCGGGACGCACGGACGGAGCAGCCUGGAGACGUGAACACCACCGUGGAGGCGGGAAUCCGCUGUGGACGCAGGAGCUCAGGCCCGGUGCUCCGGGACAACCUGG